rnacentral:sRNA from 5 species
UCGAUUCGAGCGUCAGCGAGAAAGCGUUGCCGCAGGCAACGACCCGAAGGGCGAAGCGCGCAGCGCUGAGUCAUCCUUCCCCCACCACCA